GAGGGUAGAGCUCAGCCAUAGAGUGCGUGCUUAGUAUGCACAAGGUCCUGGGUUCAAUCCCCAGUACCUCCA
rfam:Camelus ferus unplaced genomic scaffold scaffold307, whole genome shotgun sequence.